ACCAAUCUUUAAUUAUACACACCAAAUGUCCUAUUAUACUUGAAUGCACCACUUGGGGUCAAGGAGGUCUAGACCUCAACAGCCAAUCAGGAGCUUCACAGGUCACGUCCAGCUUGUCAAUGUGGAGGUGAAGUGCGGACGCAGUGUUUCUUCCGUCCUUUUGAAUAUCAGCAGCGGGAAAGAAGGAAAUUAACCAUUUCACUAACUUGCUGAGAGUCCGUAGCUGAGUGAGUGAAUGAAGGGGACGAGUUACAUCGGUGAGGCGGAUCGUUUAUUGGAAAAAGAAUGACCGUUAACAUAUCGCCCAUGCUAAUGCUAAUUUUGUGAGCCGCUACAAACCCCAGCAUUGCAUCCUCGGCUUGAAGCGCAGAAAAACGGUCAGGUUUCUGAGAGGACGGGAAAGUUUGAGGACCAGGACCAAAUCCCAACAGUAUUUGGUAGUGAGCAAUCAACCCUGAAGAAAAGACACAGACAAGGAGAUACAGGUAUAAACACACACACACACACCCACACACACACCUUUAAAAACGGAUGCACCUGCAACAUACUCUAAUAUGCUAUGUUAUGUUAUAUAUGAGGAUAUAAAAAUGACAUCUGACCAGACUUACUAAUCUGAACAGUAUAUUGGUAAGAACUGAGCCUGACACUUUUCCUGGGCCCACCACAGUCAAUAGUCCUCAAUGUUGAAUUGUGCUUUUUCAAAAUUAAAUUGAUAAUUGCUCUAAUCAUUUCCUAGACCGUUGUAAGCUCUAUGACCACUGUUUACUCCACGGAUAUCAAAUCCAAUAACAGGUGCAUCUGCACUACAGUCAGAUAAGAUUAUGAUGACAAAGUGAAGUGACAACAGCACCAUGGUAACAUUAAAACACACUAUACAAAAAUUGAGCCCACAUUUUGUAUCGCAAAAUAUAUAUUGAGAAAGUGGAGUAAUAAUUAAUUUUAUUACAGAAACCAUUUUAUUGCACAUUUUCACAUUCCUACAAUAAAUAUUGCAUGUAUUUGUGACUGUAACAUCUGUAGCAAUAAUUAUGGGUGUUACAGUACAUUAAAGGCACAGUGGAGAGUCUUACAAAUGUUGUCAUUUAUUAACAAAUAAUAAAAUGGCUAUAAAUAAAUACAUAUGUACAUACUUAUAUACAUAUUAUAUAUAUAAUCUCAUCCCGUAAUAUUAAUUCCUGUCUAGAAAAUAUCAUUUCAAAUGUAUCCACACUGCAAGACAUUAAAAAAAAAAAAUCAAAUCAGUCCCCAUC